GAGGGUACAGCUCAGUGGUAGAGUGUAUGCUUAGCACGCAUGCGGUCCGAGGUUCAGUCCCCGAUACCUCCG
rnacentral:tRNA from 1 species